AUGCCCAGACAGACAGAAGUGGUCCACGCUCCACCAGUGUCCUUCAGCACAAGGAUACGCUGCAGUGGUGAUGACACAGGGUCCUCGUGUUCCACCAAUCCAAAUGCCAUGUCUGAAUGCAAUUGGUGGUGCUGCACCUGGAAAAUAUUACCGUGUCCCUUACUGGGCAGUACGAAUGCAUUUUUGCUACCUACCCAUAUGGAACAAAGGCUGCAAAAAUUCAACUUACUGUCAAGGCAGAAGGAUGAAGAUGGGUGGGAAGAGGAACUUGUGACCAAGGAGCCCUCCUGUCCUGCUGUGUACAGGAACAGCAGCAUGCUCUUACCCUGAGAUCUUCAUUAGCUUGGAGGAGAGCUCAGCCAGCACCUCGCAGAAGACUUCAGAAAUU
rnacentral:lncRNA from 1 species